GACGAACCGUGCGACCGUUAUUCGGAAUCACUGGGCUUAAAGGGCGCGUAGGCGGGCCACCAAGUCAGGGGUGAAAUCCCACGGCUCAACCGUGGAAGUGCCCUUGAUACUGGUGGCCUCGAGGGAGGCAGGGGCGUGCGGAACUUUGGGUGGAGCGGUGAAAUGCGUAGAUAUCCAAAGGAACACCGGUGGCGAAAGCGGCGCGCUGGACCUCUUCUGACGCUGAGGCGCGAAAGCCAGGGGAGCAAACGGG
rnacentral:rRNA from 1 species